ensembl:snRNA U6 U6 spliceosomal RNA
GUGCUCCCUUUGGCAGCAUAUAUACUAAAAUUGGAACAAUACAGAGAAGAUUAGCAUGCAAGGAUUACACACAAAUUCAAGAAUUGUUCCAAAAAAAUUUUUU